rnacentral:rRNA from 1 species
CCUACGGGAGGCAGCAGUGAGGAAUAUUGGUCAAUGGGCGGGAGCCUGAACCAGCCAAGUCGCGUGAGGGACGACGGUCCUAUGGAUGGUAAACCUCUUUUGUCGGGGAACAAAGGCGUCCACGGGUGGGCGGAUGAGUGUACCCGAAGAAAAAGCAUCGGCAAACUCCGUUCCAGCAGCCGCGGUAAUACGGAGGAUGCGCGCGUAAUCCGGAUUGAUGGGGUGAAAGGGGUGCGUAGGCGGACAGUCAAGUCAGCGGUAAAAAUGCGGUGCUCAACGGCGUACAGCCGUUGAAACUGGCAGUCUUGAGUGGGCGAGAAGGAUGCGGAAUGCGUGGUGUAGCGGUGAAAUGCAUAGAUAUCACGCAGAACUCCGAUUGCGAAGGCAGCAUACCGGCGCCCUACUGACGCUGAGGCACGAAAGCGUGGGGAUCGAACAGGAUUAGAUACCCUUGUAGUC